GCUUGACUUCAUAACCCCAAAGUUCUCUUAACUUAGCCUUUUUAGUCUAUAAUUGGCAUUCAGGGGUCUCAGAAUGCAGAUCCUGAGGCAGGAAUGUCUCUGGAAUAAGGAGCUCUGGCCUUUCAUUGGAGAGAAUUCUGCGUGGGGGAGCUUUGAUGAUGGACCCUCAGCACCAGCUUAAGCUGUGUGAUUCCACAAGACAUCUGGGGAGUCUUUGUUGAAGAUGUACCAGGUGUUAGUAGUUGUUAUGAAAAUUCUCACCUCUCCUGCCCCAUGGCUGCUUUCAGUUUCAGCUGAAUCCUGCUGCUCCAGCCCAAGCAGCUCUAAGUGCAGAUGCAAAGUGGGAUGGACGACUGCAAAUGCCUUUUCAGAAAGAGCUGAUUUGCACUGUAAAAAAAAAUAAAAAUAAAAAAAUAUAUAUUUAAAGAUGUGUUGAAAGAGUUCAUAGAGUGCUGAAGAACUUCACAAGAGAUCAGAACAGGACAAAGAGCAAGUAUCCCUGCAGGGGAGGGAACGGGCAGGCGGGACUUUUGCUGGUAUUUUUAUUUAUAAUCGUACUUCAAAGCAGUGGUUUCGUUCUGCAAGAAGUAAAUAAUGAAUGGUGAUAUUUUUAACCUCCUACAUAGACUCUGUGUUUCAUCUACAAGAGGUUUGGCAGCAUCCAGAGUAUUCAUGGCAUCGUUAAUGUGAACUGCUUGACUGCUUGAAUAACAAGUGCAACUUAAAGCCAUUUACUCCUGGGGAUUCAAAGAACAGCCUGGACAAGAAAGAAGCACAGUUAUCAAGUUAAUGUUGAAAUCAAACUCUGAUGAACUCUGUGAAGACAGGCUGAGGGAGCUGGGGGUGUUC